UACGUAGGGUGCAAGCGUUGUCCGGAUUUAUUGGGCGUAAAGAGCUCGUAGGCGGUUUGUCGCGUCGGAUGUGAAAACCCAGGGCUCAACCCUGGGCCUGCAUUCGAUACGGGCAAACUAGAGUAUGGCAGGGGAGACUGGAAUUCCUGGUGUAGCGGUGAGAUGCGCAGAUAUCAGGAGGAACACCGGUGGCGAAGGCGGGUCUCUGGGCCAAAACUGACGCUGAGGAGCGAAAGCGUGGGGAGCGAACAGG
rnacentral:rRNA from 1 species